rnacentral:lncRNA from 1 species
GGUGGUGGAUGAAGGAGGGAAAGGAGGUAUUAAAAAGAAGGUGUUGUACCUCUAUGGAAACGUCACCUAUAGACUUUCAUUUGACUCUACUGAGAUUUUCACAUCAGCCUUGGAGAAUGAAGGCAGCAGAUCUUCCAGAGCAGCAAGAGCCUUCCUGAUUGGUUUAGUAUUGUCCAACUAGAAGUGAGUGUAGAAUGUGUUGAACUUGUCUGGG